rnacentral:rRNA from 1 species
GAUGAACGCUGGCGGUGUGCCUAAUACAUGCAAGUCGAGCGACCGGACGAGAAGCUUGCUCCCCUGAUGUUAGCGGCGGACGGGUGAGUAACACGUGGAUAACCUACUUAUAAGACUGGGAUAACUUCGGGAAACCGGUGCCAAUACCGGAUAAUAUUUUGAACCGCAUGGUUCAAAAGUGAAAGACGGUCUUGCUGUCACCUAUAGAUGGAUCCGCGCUGCAUUAGCUAGUUGGUAAGGUAACGGCUUACCAAGGCAACGAUGCAUAGCCGACCUGAGAGGGUGAUCGGCCACACUGGAACUGAGACACGGUCCAGACUCCUACGGGAGGCAGCAGUAGGGAAUCUUCCGCAAUGGGCGAAAGCCUGACGGAGCAACGCCGCGUGAGUGAUGAAGGUCUUCGGAUCGUAAAACUCUGUUAUUAGGGAAGAACAUAUGUGUAAGUAACUGUGCACAUCUUGACGGUACCUAAUCAGAAAGCCACGGCUAACUACGUG